rnacentral:ncRNA from 2 species
CAUUGAAGUAGAGGUCGCAGCUUUUAUGAGUACGGUAAACGAGACGCAGAGCACGUCAACGACUUUACCGGAAAGGAAAAGCUGCCGAAGUCUGGGCAUUUCUCUGGGUGCUCAGGCUGGGGUUGUCACCGAAUAGGGGCAACACUGUCAUACCCGCAUGAAUUUGCGGGUAUGGAGCGCUAUCUUCAUG